rnacentral:rRNA from 1 species
GAUGAACGCUAGCGGCAGGCUUAACACAUGCAAGUCGAGGGGCAGCAUACCCAGCAAUGGGUGAUGGCGACCGGCGGAAGGGUGCGUAACGCGUGAGCAACAUGCCCAUAUCAGUGGGAUAAUCCAGGGAAACUUGGUCUAAUACCACAUAGUAUCUUUUAGAGACAUCUUUAAAAGUUAAAGAUUUAUCGGAUAUGGAUUGGCUCGCGUGACAUUAGCUGGAUGGUAGGGUAACGGCCUACCAUGGCAAUGAUGUCUAGGGGUUCUGAGAGGAAGGUCCCCCACACUGGAACUGAGACACGGUCCAGACUCCUACGGGAGGCAGCAGUGAGGAAUAUUGGACAAUGGAUGGAAAUCUGAUCCAGCCAUGCCGCGUGCAGGAAGAAGGUCCUAUGGAUUGUAAACUGCUUUUGUACGGGAGCAAUAAGGGCUAUGCGUAGUUCGAUGAGAGUACCGUACGAAUAAGGAUCGGCUAACUCCGUG